UACGUAGGGGGCAAGCGUUGUCCGGAAUCAUUGGGCGUAAAGCGCGUGUAGGCGGCUUGGUAAGUCCGCUCUGAAAGCCCGGGGCUCAACCCCGGGAGGCUGGUGGAUACUGUCAAGCUCGAGUCCGGAAGAGGCGAGUGGAAUUCCUGGUGUAGCGGUGAAAAUGCGCAGAUAUCAGGAGGAACACCAGUGGCGAAGGCGGCUCACUGGUCCGGUACUGACGCUGAGGUGCGAAAGCGUGGGGAGCAAACAGG
rnacentral:rRNA from 1 species